rnacentral:rRNA from 1 species
AUGGCCGGCGAGCCCUACACCGAGGACGAGGUCACCCGCUUUCUCAAGCAUGACCCGACCGUCCCGGCCGCUGAGCAACAGCCGCCGGCGGCUCACGUCGACGUCCAGGCGGACGUUCAGCCCAUCGUCUGUGAUGAGCGGAUGAUGGCCGACACGCCGUCGGCGUCGGCGAUGCAGCUCGAACUCCAGGAGGUGCCUCCCAUGGUCGGCGUGCGGCACCCUCCACCGGAGGCGCCGAUGCCACUCUAUUAUCAAACGAUGCCUGGCGAAUCGAUGGGGACGAUGCCACUCCACCCUGGCGAUCACAUGGUGAACGAGUUGAUGCCGGUAGUGCAACAAAAGCUUGGCGAAUCGCCGGCAAUAACGCCGCCACUUUUUGAAGGCCAGGGCCAGCACAUGGUGGGCGAGUCACCGUCGGCGAUGGCACUCCCUCAUCAGCAGAUGCUGAGCGACACGCCUGCCACAAUGCCACGCCAUCCUCACUCUCACAUGAUCAACGAGUUGUUGCAGGUAUUGGAACAAAGGCUUGGCGAAACGACGGCAGCAAUGCCGCAAGAUGACGGACAUGGCGAGCACAUGAUGGGCGAGCCGUCGGUAAGGAUUCCACUCCAGUACCAACAGAUGAUGGUGGAUCAUCCGCCCGUGGCCUACGGCUUCACGGACCUAGACGGCGAUCUGGGUCUCCAUGGGCUUUUCCUGGAAAACGAAGAACACCUCCCGGGCGGCAAUGGCGUCACUGGCAUGUCGGAACCGCCCGCGGUGCCUUCAGUCGUGCCGCUGGCACCAGCGCCAGAGCAACAACCAUCAUGCCAAGACUGUCAUGUCGUCCAACUGGCCAGGAGCCACAACGCGGCGAUAGGAAUGGUGACGACCUUGUCUCUGCACCUCACGUCCGACGGAACAUAUACGCACACAGUCCUCGAAAUCACCGGCGCCCAAGGGCCAAACUCCGGCAGCCAACUAAUAUACGAGAGCCUGCGUGACUGCGCGCAAGAGGAUGUGGCUAGAAUUGUUGACUCCUUGAUUGGGACGAUGAGGAGCACAGUCGGCCCGGUGGAAGAGGUCAUCAUCGCCGAGAGCGGAGCAGCCGCAGACGCAGAGGUAGCCAUGAGCUCUGGCAUGGUGGACGCGGCCGGUCCGUCCAGCGCGCCAGAGAUGGACACGCUGCGCGCUGCACCGGUUGUGCCACCGCCUCCACGGACCCAAAGGCAGUGGCCGCAGCAACCGGCGAGGGUGUUGAGCCCUGCGGAGCAAGAGGACGAGGAGACCCGGCAGUACUUACAGCACGUCCGAGAGCAGGUCGAGAAGGAGAUGAGCUCGCUGCCGCUCGCGCUCAAGCGAUUCUGCCGCGACACAAAAAAUCCAGACAAACGCAGCCUGAUCUUACGCCGGAUAAAACAACUCAAUAACAAGAUCAAAGACUCUCCGAAGGAGGGCUGGGGUGUGGGGAGUGAAUUGACCAAGAUCAGAACGUGGGUGGAUGGUUUAGUGACAGAGAAAACGCGGCUGUACGCUACUCUUGUGGAGCUGAUGGAGAAGGAAGGCAAAAGCUGCCAUGUUGUCCCUCCCCGCCGAGACGACGAUGAAACCGGUGGCAGUGGCGGCGCCGCUGGUGCUGCUGUGUAG